UACGGAGGGGGCUAGCGUUGUUCGGAAUUACUGGGCGUAAAGCGUGCGUAGGCGGCUUUGUAAGUUAGAGGUGAAAGCCCGGGGCUCAACUCCGGAAUUGCCUUUAAGACUGCAUCGCUAGAAUUGUGGAGAGGUGAGUGGAAUUCCGAGUGUAGAGGUGAAAUUCGUAGAUAUUCGGAAGAACACCAGUGGCGAAGGCGACUCACUGGACUCAUAUUGACGCUGAGGUGCGAAAGCGUGGGGAGCAAACAGG
rnacentral:rRNA from 1 species